rnacentral:lncRNA from 1 species
AGGACGGCCGUCUGACGCGGGAGGAGAUCGUGGCCAAAUACGACCUAUUUGUGGGCAGCCAGGCCACCGACUUCGGGGAGGCGUUGGUGCGACACGACGAGUUCUGAGGGGGGGGAUGCUGAGAUUUGGGGCCGAUUGGGCUGAAUUUGGGGUCGGGUGCUGAGGUUUGGGGUCAGUCUGUGAGAGUUUGGGGUCAGAUGCUGAGAUUUGGGGUCAGAUGCUGAGAUUUGGGGCCGAUUGGGCUGAAUUUGGGGUCAGGUGCUGAGAUUUGGGGUCGGUUUGUGAGAGUUUGGGGUCAGGGCUGGAGAUUUAGGGUCAUUUCAUGAGAGUUUGGGGUCAGAUGCUGAGAUUUGGGGCUGAUUGGGCUGAAUUUGGGGUCAGUUCAUGAGAGUUUGGGGUCAGAUGCUGAGAUUUGGGGUCAGAUGCUGAGAUUUGGGGUCAUUUCAUGAGAGUUCGGGGUCAGAUGCUGAGAUUUGGGGUCAGAUGCUGAGAUUUGGGGCCGAUUGGGCUGAAUUUGGGGUCGGGUGCUGAGAUUUGGGGUCAUUUUGUGAGAGUUUGGGGUCAGAUGCUGAGAUUUGGGGUCAGAUGCUGAGAUUUGGGGUCCGUUUGUGAGAGUUUGGGGUCAG